UCUGUUUGUGUGUGUUGUCCGCGUCUUUUAUCCCUCUCCCAUUCCCUCUCCUCUGUUUGUUUAAGAUGAUAUUUUAGGUGGCAUCCUGAAACCCACAGUGGCCUCUCCCAACCAGGGCCUGACGCCCAGCGCCCAUCAGCCAGGCAAACUGGUUUCCGAUGACUUGGAUUCCUCCCUUGCCAACCUUGUGGGAAAUCUCUGUAUUGGAAAUGGAACAACAAAAAAUGACAUUCAUUGGAGUCAACCCGGUGAAAAGAAGCUGACUGGAGGAACCAACUGGCAACCAAAGAUGGCUCCGACCACAACAUGGAACCCUGCCUCCAUGAAUGGCAUGCUUUUCCCACAAUACGUAAGUCAAAACGCUGAGUUGAACCAUUCUCUGAAACGCAUGAGAGUAUUAACCCCACCGCCUUUGCUUUGGUCACAGUUUAUGACCUGUGUGUGUUUGAGUGACCAAAAUUGCACUGAAACCCAUGAGCUGAUCUAACCAGAUGUUAUCUCGGCAUGGCUGACAGCUCUGUUCCUCCUCUACCCUUUCCUCUCAUCGGUUUCAUUUGUUUAUCGCCAUCAGCAAACAACUGUAGUCAAUGGGCUAGUGUUUCCAGCGGAGGGUUUACCGGACAAUAUGCAAAGUCCAAUAAAGUAUGUAAUCAACCAGUUCGAGUCAUGCCUUGGUAAACAUUCUGAUGGAAACACUUCCACCGGAGAGUUCUUUCUUUCGUAAACAGGAUAUGCUGAGCUGGAUUGAUCAGUACAUCAGCAUGAUUUAGUCAUAUUUACUCCUACUGAGUUGUUUGUGCUUGUCAAACAUUUCUGUAGGUGCCAUUUCUCCGAAGAUUACCGUACGACUGAGCUGUUUGCUUAACCUAGCUAGAAGUUUACGAAGUACCUUUUUUCUCUUAAUGAGAUUCCUCAAAGUCUGCAAACACAUUUAUCUUUCAUCAUCUUGAGAUUCACUGCAGCCUGUUCUAAUUUAGUGGGAUGCACACAGAAAAACACACAAGGUUGUGUUUUAUAUUAGGCUGUAAAUUGAAUUCUAUUUUUUAUAAAAUGGAUAAUUAUGGCUCCAAAUA